AUCAAACUUUCGUUACUUUAUUCCAUCUUCAUUUACGUGAAUUUAUGUUUUAGUGACAGUAACUGGACUCGUAUUCGACUGAGAAGAGAAAUUAUCUGAGUAAGUGAGAGUUUAUUGGAUGAAUUUUGGUUUUGGUUGUUCAUUACGUAUAAUUAAUCACGGUUAGGGCUUGACAUUGUUAGGGAAAAGGUCAGGAAGCAAGAUGUUAAUGAACUUUGAUGUUAUACUUUCUUGUUUUGUUUUGUUUUUUUGUUGAUGCUAUGAAAAAUAUCGUGGUUAUAAUUUAAGGGCUGAGAACUUAUGAAGUGGAUAGUGAGUGAACUUAUUGAAGUAUUUGUGACAUUUUACAAAUGCUCAAACUAGAACAGGUAACAUUUAUAGUCUGUAUUUUUGAGACAUUUAACUGUUAGCCGUUGGACCUAUUUGAUGAGUAAAAAUUCAGUGUAACAGUGAUACUGAUGAUGUCGUAUCACCAAUCAAUAAUAAACUCACAGGUCGAGGGUGAACCCCACUUUUCAGAUAUUAUACUCCAUUUGGUUCAUAGGAAUGAGAUGGAAUGAAAUGAUGAUUCCUUAAGCUCAGCUAUGGAAUGAUCAUUUGAUAAUUUCAUUUGCAAUACAUUUUUUUAUUAUUUUUUUAGUCAACCAAACAUAAGAAUAGAUAUGUUGAUAGAAUGACCAUUCCAUUUCAUUCUAAUGAACCAAGAGUUUAUUGGAUGGUGAUACUGAUGACGUGGUAUCACUGAUGUAUUGAACUUUUUUCCUAUUUGACACAUAAAUGAAGAUUUAAAGGUGAAAUGUGUCACAAUUUGAACUAUAUGUACUAAUUGACACUAGGGGCAAAUUAUAGGGAUGGAAAAUGACUUGGACCCCCACAAGGGGGCACCCCCACGACCCCCUCUCUCUCUAAUUGGCCAGUUUUUUUUUUUUCCCUUCUCCUCCAAUCACCAGCCCUCACGUGUGUGUGGAGGUGGUGAUUGGAGAGGGUCUCAAUCACUUCCCUUAUAGGGACCAUUGGUGUAAUUUGUCCUUUUUUUUUUUUUGGUACUUUGUGUAUGGGAUUGUGCACCUUGUAGUACUAAGUAGGAUUGAGAUAGAGAAGAUGCCAAAACAAAUUAUGACCAGGGAAACAACAAAUUCGUGAGGACUGCAGGAUGAAGCUGUGACCAAUCCCAUAACCAAUUAACUGACAGUUACAUACAUGAAAAGCCAGAGAAAGUCAAGGGCCUUACUGCAUUCAUGAGAAGUUGAGAAAAAAACAAAUCAGAGUUCAGGCUAUUGGACUAUGAUGCUUUCAUAUUGUUCCUACCAGGGACUUUCUGUAUCAUUUGGCAAAACUUUCAUAUUCCACAUGUGGCAUGGAAUAAUUUUUCAUUCCUAUGACAUGGUAGAUCCGUUAUUACUUAACACAGUGCUAAAGUUACGUUUAAAUUCCUAAAAAUCACGAUGUCAUCUUUCCAUGUGCCAUUUUGGUAAAUGUCCAUUCAUUUUGUGAUGGAAAGUGACAUACCCAAUACUCUGCAGUUCCUUAGGCUUGUUGCUGCGACUUUUACAGAGGUUCUCUUCGAUAAGAAAAGAUAAAGCAGAGGGGUAAGUGGACAAGAAUAAGUAUAAAAAGAUGAAGUGAUAGGGAGUGUUUUGAAAAUCGUGCCUAAGCGCGAGGUGAGGCGCAGUUGAGGCGCUGAAGCGAGCACCUUAUUUUGAGGCGCAAGGGCGUGUCUUCCCGUCCAACAGCUCAUCUGGCUUUCUGUGGGGAUACCCACAUGGAAUAAAAUCUCACUUACAUUAUGAAAUGACCAAAACGUGGUCCAAAAGAGCAAAAAGAUUAAAAAAACCCUAGUGGGUGGAGAAGAAGAAGAUGACGCGAUAGGAGAAGACGAAACAGUUCUUUGCCUUUCAACACAGGCCACGUAGGUUCUUCUCUUCUUCUCUGCUUUUCUUCUCUGUUUUCCUCUUCUCUUCUCUCUUUUCUCUGGUUUUCUUCUCUGCCUAUGUUUUUUUUUUUGCUUUAUUUUUCUGGUCUUCUUUUCUUCUCUCUUUUCUGGUCUGCUUCUCCUCUCUUUUCUGGUCUUUUUCUGUCUGUUUUUUUCUUUGUUUUUUUUGUCUCUGUUUUUUUUUGCUUUAUUUUUCUGGCCUUCUUCUCUUCUCUCCUAAGAAGCACGGGUGCAGGUACGAGUACGGUACGGGUACGAGUGCGGGUACGCCGAUGCGGCAAAAUCCCAAAAAAGUAGGAUACGGGUACGGCUGCGAUUAUACCUCUCUGAAGAAGAAAGAAGAAACAAGAAACAAGAAAAAAAACAAAAAAAAUAAAGAUGAGGAGAUUCUGACCAGGGGAAAAAAAUGAAGGGACAAAAACAAGUUAUUCAGGGGAAAAAAAUUAUGACCAGUUAUGCAACAAAUUCUGACCAGUUAUUCAGGGACAAAAACAAGUUAUGCAACAAGGGACAAAAAAAACAAAAAAACAAAAUCAUACUAGUUGCUUGGUUGCUAGGUAUGACUGAUAUGCAAGGGACGAAAAUAGAUGCUUGUUGAUAGAUGCUGGCUGAUCUCUGCAAAAAAAAAAAAAAAUUAGAAGAAGAAGAAGAAACGAAGAAGAUGAGAGAA